rnacentral:lncRNA from 1 species
AUCAUCUCUACAGACAAUUAUACUUAUAGCUUUUUUUUAUAUUAAUUGGUAAUUUAUACUCUAAAUUCUAUUUGUGAAUGCUUUCUAAAAUUUCAUUAGUAAUUUCAAUGUAAACUAUCUGUUUGUGUGAAACUAAUAAAAUUGUGUUAUUUGCAUAAUCCUAUAUUCUUGAAACUGAGACCAGACUGGGAGAUCACUAUGUACAGCCUCUUCUGAUGUAUUUGAAAUAAUGUAGGUAUUCUGUAUGUAUAGCCAAACAUUUUUGUUAAAAAAAGUGUUCCUAGAGUUGCUUAUAAAGAUUCCUAGGACACAUUCAACCUCAGCUCAUGCAAGAUGAUAGAUCACCAUUAUGGUCAAAGGUCUGUUUAAAGUCAACAAUAACUAUGAUAAUGUUUCUUCUCUUGGCUGUUUUUAUGUUAUUUAUUGCAGUUUGAAUGGUAUCAGUAUUACUUUUUUAUUCAAUACAGCAAUACUGAUUUUGAUUUAAUUUGUUGUUUUAUGUAAGUGGAAGUUUAUUCUGUUGAUCUGUAAACAUCCAAAGCUUUGCUGAGUGAAGGCAAUUGGAUUUGUAAUUGUUGUAUGAUGAUGAUAGUUUUAUUGUUGGAAUAAGUUUGGCAGAAUUUGUUUCCAUUGUGUUGGGUAGAAUUUAUGUUAAAGAUUGAAAUUAAAGAAGAUAACAAAUUUAAUGAGGUUAGUCUAAUAAUCAUGUUUUAAUAUAUUAGGAGUAAAUUUUUCAAUAUCUAGAGCUUUUUUGUUUAAGUUAUUAAUGGCAGGUUCAGCCUCUGCAGUUGUGAAGACAGUAUCAUUCUGUUUGUUAAGGGAUUAGGAAUUCAUUUCUAAUUAACUUUGUCAUUAUCUCAUGUUUGAUCAUUCUCUAUGUAUAGCUUGCAAAGUCAAAAAUCUUAUCAAUUGCUACUUGCAGAAUCAUGACUUUGCAGCAUUUCUGUCAAAUCUUGUCAAUUGUCUGCUUGCAGAGUCAAAAAUCCUGUCAAUGUCUAGCAAGAGUCUUGUCGAUGGUCAUGACUCUGCUAAAUUUCUAGAGUUCGAUCUGACCAGUCUUAAUUUUAUGAAAAUAAAGUCUGGAAAACUAAUUAACCUAACCAUCAAAAACAACUAGAAUUCAUAGUUAUUAACAAAAUCACAAAUAUGUUAGAACAAAAUGGCAAAAAAGGAAGUUAGAGCACUUGUUAAAUGGAAUAAAUAACAAAACAAAUAAAAUUAAGUAAUUAAAAAAUAAUUUAUUAAAUUCACAAAAGUACUUACAUUUACAAGUUUUGUGGAGCCUCUGGGGCGACAAUGCCGUCAGGAUAAAUUUGAUAGCCAAAAUACAGAUGUAUGGCACUUUUGUGAGUAAGGAUGGAGUGGAGGAAAUCUCUGAUGAUGUAAUGACUGACAACAAUAUGGUUUAUGAACAAACCUGAAUCCUUUAUUGAGAGAGAUCUGUACAGGUGAUGCUAGCUCUUUCACAGAGAGCAAUGCAUCCAAAGAAGGAUAAAUACCUUGAGUAUUAAGAAAGUCUCUUGUAUUCUAACAUUGAAAUGUUCUUCUUUGUUGCAUAUACAGAUUUUUCAGAAUGAGUUCUUUUGUUUUUCUUCUUGAUUUCUAUAUAUAUAUUACUUACAAACACAAACAAACAAACACAAACACACACACAAACAAA